AGAGUUUGAUCCUGGCUCAGGAUGAACGCUGGCGGCGUGGAUAAGGCAUGCAAGUCGAAAGGGUUUAGGCCCUUGGCAAACGGGUUAGUAAUGCAUAGGAAUCUUCCCCAAAGUCGUGAAUAAUCCGGAGAAAUCCGGAAUAAUACACGAUAUGCUCUACGGAGUAAAGAUUUAUCGCUUUGGGAGGAGCCUGUGUCCUAUCAGCUUGUUGGUGGUGUAAAGGACUACCAAGGCUAUGACGGGUAGGGGGUGUGAGAGCACGGCCCCCAACAUUGGGACUGAGACACUGCCCAAACUCCUACGGGAGGCUGCAGUCGAGAAUAUUCCACAAUGGACGAAAGUCUGAUGGAGCGACGCCGCGUGCAGGAUGAAGGUAUUCGUAUUGUAAACUGCUUUUGUAAGGGAUGAACUUCGGUGACAGACCUACGA
rnacentral:rRNA from 1 species